rnacentral:rRNA from 1 species
GAUGAACGCUGGCGGCGUGCCUAAUACAUGCAAGUAGAACGCUGAAGGAGGAGCUUGCUCUUCUGGAUGAGUUGCGAACGGGUGAGUAACGCGUAGGUAACCUGCCUGGUAGCGGGGGAUAACUAUUGGAAACGAUAGCUAAUACCGCAUGACAACAGUUAUUGCAUGACAACUGUUUAAAAGGGGCAACUGCUCCACUACCAGAUGGACCUGCGUUGUAUUAGCUAGUUGGUGAGGUAACGGCUCACCAAGGCGACGAUACAUAGCCGACCUGAGAGGGGGAUCGCCCACACUGGAGCGGGGACACGGCCCAGACUCCGACGGGAGGCAGCAGUAGGGAAUCUGCGGCAAAGGGCGGAAUCCUGCCCGAGCAACGCCGCGUGAGGGAAGAAGUUUUUCGGUUCGUAAAGCUCUUUUUUAAGGGAAGAACAGAUGUGGGAGGGGAAAGUUCCACCUGGGCGGGUUUUUUACAAGAAGGGGCCGCCAACCUCCGU